AUUUCAUUAAAAACUAGAAAAUAGAGCCGGGGCAAUCAAACCAUGUCAAUGGAAGGUGUAACAGUCGGAACUAAAAACAGGAUUCUUGUCAUAUCGGCGUGAUGCCCUAGCCGGCAUCUCCUAAUAUAUUUAGCUUCAUUUUCAGCUCCACGACGGCGAGGAACAUCUUGGUCGCGUGCGGGAACGAAUAGGAGUAGCAAAAUGCGGAACGAGCUGCAGCAGCCAGCUCUGUGUUUCGCAUGAGAAAACCAUGCCGCCGCCUGCUUUCUUCGCGCUUCCGCUCUUUCGCUUCCAAGUUUUUUCAGCUAUUUUGAUGUUCCCCUCCUUUUGACCGGCCCUUCGGAGUCUGCUCUGCUUGUUUUGAUGGCUUCGUCAGCUUGAUCAUCUCCAUCUCGACCUUCUCUAAACUCAGAAGGGCUUCUAACAGAGAACACCCUUUCCGCAAAAUCUUUUUUACUGCAUUAUAUGCUUUCUCCGGAAGACCAUAUUUCAUUCUCUGAUGAUGAAAUCGCGGAGGGUGCCUGUGUAUGGAACCAAGCCCUCGUCGGUUAUCCUAUCGGUAAAAGGUCUUCCUACGGUAAACUUCUCCCAGCGGCAACGAAGCUUUGGAAGCUAAAAGGCAAACUCAAUCUUCUCUCCUUAUCUGAGGGUUUUUCUGCUUGAUUUUGCCUGCCUGGAAGACCUUGAAAUGGUCCUUAAUGGGGCUCUUUGGUUUAUCUAUUGCCGGCUCUUUCAAUUCAAACGUUGGUCCCUGGAUUUUACCCCUGUCAAGGACGAUUUCAAGGAGGUUCCUAGUUGAGUUAAGUUCCCAAAUCUUCUGCUUUGCUUCUAGUUGGAGAGUUGGAUCUCAAAGAUUCCUAGCAAAAUCAGAAUUCCUCUCACCGUCUCAUAGCCGGUAGAUCUCACCUUACCUUAGCUAGGGUUAGCAUACAUAUAUCAACCUCUUCGGUUCUCUCUGAUGAAAUCCAUAUCAAGAUUAAUGGUAAUGACGCUUGUUUGCCUGUGAUAUAUGAAUGGAAACCCAUUCCUUGUGCCUGUUGCGCAGUGCAUUGCCACGCUUCCAACAGCACAUUCACGCCAAAUUAAUUCCAAAAUUUCAGAGUGCUUGGUGUCGGGGCACGGCAGCGCUCAAGUUUGGAAAUUUCAAAAUUUUCCUGGUUGUUAUCAUGGAGUAAUUAUUGUGUCCGGACACCGAAUGCGUUCAGAUCAAUAAAAAAGCGACAUGUCACUUGGGCACUAGGUACCCUGCUUGAUACUGCGCUCGGUACACUCGGAAUGCUUGUGGGAUUUUGAGAGGAUUGCUGUCAGGAAUCCAUUCAUUGUCAAGUUGUAUUUGACAUUGCUAUGAUUUUCUUGGAAUAAUAGAAAUAAAGUGAAGCAUGAUGGUGUGGAGGAUAGUGUUGCGGUUAUUAUUGCUAAAGUUAUCAGUUUUGUGGUUGUUGCACAUCAGAAGGAAAUCAUCUCGGAUUACUGGGGUGCUAAUCAUUAUUCCCGACUGUGUUCUGACUUUUAGCACCCUCCUUCUCUCGAGUGGUUUAAGAUUAACAUUGAUGCUUCUUUGUGGAGAUCUAAUAGGGCGGGUGUUGGUGGAGUUGUUAGAGAUAAUAAAGGGAGAUUCUUGUUGGCCUUUGGAUUUGGUUAUGUUCAUUGGGAUAUUGCACAGUUGGAAUUACUCGCUUUCAAAUCAUUGAAGGAUGUUGUACAAGGAUGGAUGCAUAAGGCGGAAGGUAUUAUUAUUGAUGGUGACAAUCAUAAUGUGAUCAACUUUCUUCACAAAGUGUAUAGCGAACCGAAGAAGUUGAUUGGAGGACAUGAAGAUGAAGAUUUGCUAUUCUUUCAAGAAUUCAAUAAUGUUUAUUUCAUUUUGUUAGUUGUAGUUGUAAUAAAUUAGCUGAUUAUUGUACUAACUUAGGUACUUCUGAUUAUUGUGCUAACUUAGCUACUUUGUAUAAUUUCAUUUGGGAUAUUUUUAGUUGGAAUAAUAUUCCUCAUUCAUUUGUUUCUUUGUUGAAGGAGGAAUGUGAUAGGUUGACUUUAUUUGAAUAGUUUGUAUCUUGGUAUUUUUUCUUUUAAUGCAAAUUGCAU